ensembl:lncRNA
CCUAUUCCCUAUACAGUGCACUACUAUAGACCCUCUUCCCUAUACAGUGCACUACUAUAGACCCUCUUCCCUAUACAGUGGUACUACUAUAGACCCUCUUCCCUAUAUAGUGGUACUACUAUAGACCCUCUUCCCUAUAUAGUGGUACUACUAUAGACCCUCUUCCCUAUACAUGGUACUACUAUAGACCCUCUUCCCUAUAUAGUGGUACUACUAUAGACCCUCUUCCCUAUACAGUGCACUACUAUAGACCCUCUUCCCUUUACAGUGCACUACUAUAGACCCUAUUCCCUAUAUAGUGGUACUACUAUAGACCCU